GUGGGGAAUAUUGCACAAUGGGCGCAAGCCUGAUGCAGCCAUGCCGCGUGUGUGAAGAAGGCCUUCGGGUUGUAAAGCACUUUCAGUCAGGAGGAAAGGUUAGUAGUUAAUACCUGCUAGCUGUGACGUUACUGACAGAAGAAGCACCGGCUAACUCCGUGCCAGCAGCCGCGGUAAUACGGAGGGUGCGAGCGUUAAUCGGAAUUACUGGGCGUAAAGCGUACGCAGGCGGUUUGUUAAGCGAGAUGUGAAAGCCCCGGGCUCAACCUGGGAACUGCAUUUCGAACUGGCAAACUAGAGUGUGAUAGAGGGUGGUAGAAUUUCAGGUGUAGCGGUGAAAUGCGUAGAGAUCUGAAGGAAUACCGAUGGCGAAGGCAGCCACCUGGGUCAACACUGACGCUCAUGUACGAAAGCGUGGGGAGCAAACGGG
rnacentral:rRNA from 1 species